AGUGAACGCUGGCGGUAGGCCUAACACAUGCAAGUCGAACGGCAGCACAGUAAGAGCUUGCUCUUACGGGUGGCGAGUGGCGGACGGGUGAGGAAUACAUCGGAAUCUACUUUUUCGUGGGGGAUAACGUAGGGAAACUUACGCUAAUACCGCAUACGACCUACGGGUGAAAGCAGGGGAUCUUCGGACCUUGCGCGAUUGAAUGAGCCGAUGUCGGAUUAGCUAGUUGGCGGGGUAAAGGCCCACCAAGGCGACGAUCCGUAGCUGGUCUGAGAGGAUGAUCAGCCACACUGGAGCUGAGACACGGUCCAGACUCCUACGGGAGGCAGCAGUGGGGAAUAUUGGACAAUGUGCGCAAGCCUGAUCCAGCCAUACCGCGUGGGUGAAGAAGGCCUGCGGGUUGUAAAGCCCUUUUGUUGGGAAAGAAAAGCAGCAGGUUAAUACCCCGCUGUUCUGACGGUACCCAAAGAAUAAGCACCGGCUAACUUCGU
rnacentral:rRNA from 1 species